rnacentral:rRNA from 1 species
UGCUAAUGCCGGAUAGGCAACUGGUAGGCAUCUACCGGUUGGGAAAGGUGCAACUGCACCGCAGAUGGAGGAGCCCGCGGCGCAUUAGCUAGUUGGUGGGGUAACGGCCCACCAAGGCGACGAUGCGUAGCCGACCUGAGAGGGUGACCGGCCACACUGGGACUGAGACACGGCCCAGACUCCUACGGGAGGCAGCAGUAGGGAAUCUUCGGCAAUGGGCGAAAGCCUGACCGAGCAACGCCGCGUGAGCGAAGAAGGCCUUCGGGUUGUAAAGCUCAGUCACCCGGGAAGAGCGGGCAGGAGAGGGAAUGCUCCUGUCGAGACGGUACCGGGAGAGGAAGCCCCGGCUAACUACGUG